UGCCCGUUGGUCAAAUGGUUUAAGACGUCGCCCUCUCAAGGCGGAGUUGCGAGUUCGAUUCUCGUACGGGCUA
rnacentral:tRNA from 2 species